CCCAGACUGGACUCAGACUUCUGGGUUCAAGCAAUCCUGCUGCCCCAACAUCCCAAAGUGCUGGAUGUGUUAUACACAUGAGCCAUUGCCCCUGGCUUAUCUGGCUUAUAUUUUCCAAAAUCAUUUAGUUCCUCUCUCACACACACACAGAGAGAUGUACCACCUUCAGUAUGAUUACCUUAUUCACUUAUUACUGCAGUUAGGUUCAUUUUUUUCUGUUUAUAUGCUUUACCCUAUUCUUACUGAUAUCAUGUAUUCUUUUUUGAAUAUGUGAAAUAUUAACAUGGAAUGUUAGCUCAUUCUCUGGGAUUUAGUACUUUUUCUAUUUUCCUCAUGGUGUUUUGAAGUUUGGGCAUGCCUGAUCUAUAAUUGUGCUGAAUUUGUGGGUUUUGUGUAGUUUUGUUUGUUCUUGUCAUUCUGUUUUAUAUUUGGAGAAUAUAUAGGUAGACAGAAUUCAUUGGUUGCCUGUUUCUUCUGCUACCCUAAAGUCUCCCUGCAUAACUUCUAACUGGAAUAAAACUUAGAGUCAAAAUUAGAACUCUAGAAGUGACAACAGAAAUCUCUUUUCCCUUAAGCCGUGAAGAUGCUCCAUGCUCCAUGUUUUUGAGGGCCUUCCAUGCAUUUAACAUUAGGCUUUAUGUGCGUAUCAUUUCAUGUAAACGUUAUAAUAACCCUGUGACAUAGGUGACCUUACCACUCCAUUCAUCACAUAAGGAAAUAGGCUAAAGUGCUUAAGAAGUUUGUGUAGUACCUCAAUGCUGACAUAUGGCAGUGUGACAUACAACUGAACUAUCCAUACUCGUAACUACCACAGAGGCUGAGUGUUAGAUACCUGUAAAGCUGCAUGUGUAUAUCUGUACGGUAUAGUAUAUUAUGUCAUAGGUUAUGCUAUACUAUAUUAUUCUCAAAGUAAUCUGAUAAUUGCUAGUUAGGCAUUAUUACCUUAUUUUUACACAUGAAAGCACUGAGGCUCAGAGAGGUAUUUUUAUGUGAUUUCACAACUAUUAAGUGACAUGGCCAAUAUUCAAAUCUGAGUAUAUUCAAAUUAGCCUAUAUAGUGAAAAAAUGUUCAGCUGUAUGAAUUAUUUGAUUAAAACCUCAUCAAGUUUAACUCAAAGCCAAAGUAUGGCCUUUAAAAUUAGCUUCAAUAGCAGCUGUUUAAAAUAAACACAUAUGUAUUUAUAGGGCUCACAUGGCACUAUAUGAUUGUUUGUCCUAGAGAAAAAAUUUGUAAGGCAACAUCUUUCCUCUUCUUAUUUUAGCACAAAAUAUUUCCCCUUAUGUGUUUUUAAGUGUUUCAUAAACUAUUAUAUUUAGUCAUGUAAAAAUACGUAUUACAUAUUGAAGUGACAGCAGCACUUAUGGGGAGUGAUUACAGCAUGUUUUAUUGUGUAAUCUCUAUGUUUAGAGGUAUCAUAAAAUAAGUAGGGUGCUGUUAAGCAUGGUUCAGAAUUGCAGUUGUUGGCCUCUUUGUGUUUAGAUAUGUUUGCCUACCCACAAAUGUGUGGAAACUCCUUGGGAGCCUAGAUUCCUGUUCUUUCAUCGGAUUUCUCCCCAUCCCAAGGGUGUGUUUGCAGUGCCCUAGGAAAGACAUUUUGUGGCAAUUGAAACCAUUUAUUCUUAAGCAGUUUAUAAAUAGUCACUCAUUUUCCUACUCUGCCUUUGAAGAGAAGCAGAAGCUAAAAGUUUUUGCUCAUGACCAGACCUAGAACCAAAAGUGGGAGAGUUCAAACUCUCAUCUCUUUUUCCUGGCCAGGACACCCUUUCCAUGCGGGAGAUCUUCUCUCCCUUGCGUGAGCUAGGGAAGAUUGUUUGGACCUUCAGACUGUCUCAGCAAAACAUUUUGCUUUAUAUGAGGUUAAGCAUUUAGAAAAUUAUCGCCAUAUCUGCAUCUAUUUUUUAGUUCUAUAGAAAUGCAAGAAUAAGCAGAAAAUAGCACCAUACUUUUACUGUUUAAACUUUAGUUAUUUUCCAUACGUUGAUAUUUUCUAUUUAAUAAAAUUCAUAAACAUCCAGAAAUGGACAAAAAUAGAAUAUAUUCUAUUUCUAUUUUCUUAUAGUAAUAAUUCAGACUAUAAUUAAAAACAGUUAACUAAUAGUUAUAAUACUGUUUAUUAAAUACUUGCUGUGUGUCAGGCACUGGUCUAAGAACUGCUUGGAUUGGUGGGGAAUAUUUGUAGUCAACAGCUUAUGACUGGUUUUGGUCUUCUCAAAAUUCCCUUCCGCAAAGAAUAGUUUAAUCCAGUAGACACACCAGGCAGUAUUGGCCACCUGAAACCUUAUCAAAGGAGUGGCAUUAACAGGCAGAGGUCGGUUGCUAGAGGUUAACUCUGCCACCUUUUGAUAUUUCUGUGCAUCUGUUGAAGCUGGGGUUUUUUGUUUUUCGAAGGCCUGCAUACAAAGACAUCUCGAUAUGACUUCAUUGUGUUCAUGAAAGGGAUUGCACAGUUUAUUUUGCAACUUCAAACCAAGCGUCAUUAUAUGAGUCUCUUAGGAGCAGGCUAGCAGCUUACCAAUUCUUAUGGAAGAUAAGAGUAUGGUGUUUACUAUUCUGUGAGCUACCCAGAGUAAUAAAAUAGUAGUAAAAAACAUUUUUAAAAAAGAAUGUGGUGGUUACUGUCAUCACUACUGCCAGUUAUAAUCCUCUUCAUGUUUGUAAUUCUUUUCUAAAGUACUUUUAAAUGUGUUAAAAACUACAUCAUGUUUGUAAAUUUCUAGAGAUAAAAUAAGCAACUGUCAAUACCUAUAGGAAGAUGCGUAUUUGAGAAGUACCUCAAUUGAAGAUAUUUUUGUUCACUUCCGGGAGCCACAGAGAAAUUUAAGGUUAAGACUGUCUUCUACUGAUAAUGGGUGACUUAGUUCACUCUUUCAAGGAUAGUGACUUUGUGUCUGAUAAGAAGGCUGCAGCUACUUGACAAAUUGACUUACACAACAAGGGCUAAAGUCACCUAAUUCAGUGAGGAGAGAAACAGUGCUUUCAGAGACAAAAGGGAAAAAAUAUUCUUAUGUUUGAGUCACAUUUGAAUUUUGCUUUUUAAAAUCCUAGGAUAUUUUGUUAGUAGUAUCAAUAUGAAAUAAUCACUAACUUUUGUAGGUGGCUGUAAACUACGGGACAUUUUUACCCCUAGGAUUUUGUCACUUACUGUAGAAGGGGCAGAAAUGUUAAAAAAGGUAUAUGUUAAUUUCUUGUUCACUGGAGAAAAGGACAAAGUAAAAGAAAAUAUAGUAAAAAAA